rnacentral:rRNA from 1 species
GACGAACCACACAAACGUUAUUCGGAAUUACUGGGCUUAAAGGGUGCGUAGGCGGUUCAGUAAGUCGGGUGUGAAAACUCUGGGCUUAACCCAGAGCCGCCACUCGAUACUGCUGUGACUUGAGUUCGGUAGGGGAGCAGGGAAUUCCUAGUGUAGCGGUGAAAUGCGCAGAUAUUAGGAGGAACACCGGUGGCGAAGGCGCUGCUCUGGGCCGAUACUGACGCUGAGGAGCGAAAGCGUGGGUAGCAAACAGG